UCAAAUCAUCAUGCCCUUUAUGUCCUGGGCUACACACGUACUACAAUGGCGGCCAUACAACGGGCAGCGACAUGGCGACAUGAAGCGAAUCCCUUAAAAGCCGUCUCAGUUCGGAUCGCAGGCUGCAACCCGCCUGCGUGAAGUCGGAAUUGCUAGUAAUCGCGGAUCAGCAUGCCGCGGUGAAUACGUUCCCGGGCCUU
rnacentral:rRNA from 1 species